AGAGAUUAUUAACCAAAAAAUGUCCUGUCCAAAAGCUGUGUUCUUUAGUGGGAAAGUCUCGCAGAGCUCUCCUCUGAACUAAUACUGGAAGCAAAGAAGUAAGACAUAUCAAGAUUUAAAACAUAAAUAGCUUGGAACACCCUGAAGAGCAACAUGGGAGAAACUGAGAAAAGAAUUGAAACCCAUAGAAUAAGAUGUCUUUCCAAGUUGAAGAUGUUUCUGUUGGCAAUAACAUGUGCAUUUGUAUCCAAAACACUAUCUGGAUCUUAUAUGAAUUCCAUGCUCACACAAAUAGAGAGACAAUUCAACAUCCCAACAUCUCUAGUUGGAUUUAUUAAUGGAAGCUUUGAGAUUGUGACGGAGUUUCACCAUGUUGGUCAGGCUGGUCUCAAACUUCUGACAUCAGGUGAUCUGCCUGCCUCAGCCUCCCAAAGUGGAAACAGUCUUCUUUGGAAAGAAGAUGCCAUCUCGGACUUUCAGAGAUAGG
rnacentral:sRNA from 1 species